rnacentral:misc_RNA from 1 species
GAUGAAGAACGUAGCGAAAUGCGAUAAGUAAUGUGAAUUGCAGAAUUCAGUGAAUCAUCGAAUCUUUGAACGCACCUUGCGCUCCUUGGUAUUCCGAGGAGCAUGCCUGUUUGAGUGUCAUGAAAUUCUCAACCUUUCUGGCUUUUGCUAGUCAGGCUUGGAUUAUGGGAGCUGCUGGCUUUUGAAGUCGGCUCUUCUAAAAUGUAUUAGCAAGAUCAUUGCUGCUCAUCAUUGGUAUGAUAAUUAUCUAUAUCAGUGAGAGUCAGUUUCCUUUAUUGGAAGAUUUUGCGCCUAACGGUCUUUAGCAAGACAACAUUUGACGAUUUUGACCUCAAAUCAGGUAGGACUACCCGCUGAACUUAAGCAUAUCAAUAAGCGGAGGA